AGGAGAGGACUAAGAAGACUCAUUCAACCAGAGGAGAGGAGAGAGGAGGACUAAGAAUACUCAUUCAACCAGAGGAGAGGAGAGGAGAGUAGAGGACUAAGAAUACUCGUUCAACCAGAGGAGAGGAGAGGAGAGGACUAAGAAGACUCAUUCAACCAGAGGAGAGGAGAGAGAAGAGGACUAAGAAUACUCAUUCAACCAGAGGAGAGGAGAGAGGAGAGGACUAAGAAGACUCAUUCAACCAGAGAAGAGGAGAGGACUAAGAAGACUCAUUCAACCAGAGGAGAGGAGAGAGGAGAGGACUAAGAAGACUCAUUCAACCAGAGGAGAGGAGAGAAGAGGACUAAGAAGACUCAUUCAACCAGAGGAGAGGAGAGAGGAGAGGACUAAGAAGACUCAUUCAACCAGAGGAGAGAAGAGGACUAAGAAGACUCAUUCAACCAGAGGAGAGGAGAGAAGAGGACUAAGAAGACUCAUUCAACCAGAGGAGAGGAGAGAAGAGGACUAAGAAGACUCAUUCAACCAGAGGAGAGGACUAAGAAGACUAAUUCAACCAGAGGAGAGGAGAGGAGAGGACUAAGAAGCCUCAUUCAACCAGAGGAGAGAAGAGAGGACUAAGAAGACUCAUUCAACCAGAGGAGAGGAGAGAGGAGAGGACUAAGAAGACUCAUUCAACCAGAGGAGAGGAGAGAAGAGGACUAAGAAGACUCAUUCAACCAGAGGAGAGGAGAGGACUAAGAAGACUCAUUCAACCAGAGGAGAGGAGAGAGGAGAGGACUAAGAAGACUCAUUCAACCAGAGGAGAGAGGAGAGGACUAAGAAGACUCAUUCAACCAGAGGAGAGGAGAGGAGAGGACUAAGAAGACUCAUUCAACCAGAGGAGAGGAGAGAGAGGACUAAGAAGACUCAUUCAACCAGAGGAGAGGAGAGGAGAGGACUAAGAAGACUCAUUCAACCAGAGGAGAGGAGAGGACUAAGAAGACUCAUUCAACCAGAGGAGAGGAGAGAAGAGGACUAAGAA